AUUGAACGCUGGCGGCAGGCCUAACACAUGCAAGUCGAGCGGAGCGGCGGACGGGUGAGUAAUGCCUAGGAAUCUGCCUGGUAGUGGGGGAUAACGUCCGGAAACGGGCGCUAAUACUGCAUACUAUCAGAUGAGCCUAGGUCUGAUUAGCUAGUUGGUGGGGUAAAGGCCUACCAAGGCGACGAUCCGUAACUGGUCUGAGAGGAUGAUCAGUCACACUGGAACGGAGGCACGGUCCAGCCUCCUACGGGAGGCAGCGGUGGGGAAUAUUGGACAAUGGGCGAAAGCCUGAUCCAGCCAUGCCGCGUGUAUGAAGAAGGUCUUCGGAUUGUAAAGCACUUUAAGUUGGGAGGCGUUACCUGCAGAAUAAGCACCGGCUAACUUCGUGCCAGCAGCCGCGGUAAUUC
rnacentral:rRNA from 1 species